rnacentral:Y_RNA from 13 species
GGCUGGUCGGAGGGCAACAGUGUUCACAGCUAAUCGAUCACAGCCAGUUGCAGAUUUUUGUUCCAUCUCCACUCCCACUGUUUCACUUGACUGGCCUAAA